UUACGGCCACAUCAGGUUGAAACACCGGUUCCUGUAUGAUUACCGAAGUUAAGCAACGUUGAGCCUUGUCAGUACCUAGAUUGGUGACCAUUUGGGAAUACCAGGUGCUGUAAG